CCUACGGGUGGCAGCAGUGAGGAAUAUUGGUCAAUGGGCGCUAGCCUGAACCAGCCAAGCAGCGUGAAGGAUGACUGCUCUAUGGGCUUUAAACUUCUUUUAUAUGGGAAUAAAGUGCAGUAUGUAUACUGCUUUGCAUGUUCCUUAUGAAUAAGGAUCGGCUAACUCCGUGCCAGCAGCCGCGGUAAUACGGAGGAUUCGAGCGUUAUCCGGAUUUAGUGGGUUUAAAGGGAGCGUAGGCGGGUUGUUAAGUCAGUUGUGAAAGUUUGCGGCUCAACCGUAAAAUUGCAGUUGAUACUGGCAUCCUUGAGUACAGUAGAGGUAGGCGGAAUUCGUGGUGUAGCGGUGAAAUGCUUAGAUAUCACGAAGAACUCCGAUUGCGAAGGCAGCCUGCUGGACUGUAACUGACGCUGAUGCUCGAAAGUGUGGGUAGCAAACAGGAUUAGAUACCCGUGUAGUC
rnacentral:rRNA from 1 species